GACGAACCGUGCGAACGUUGUUCGGAAUCACUGGGCUUAAAGGGCGCGUAGGCGGCAAAUCAAGUCCGGGGUGAAAGCCCUCAGCUCAACUGGGGAAGUGCCUCGGAUACUGGCUUGCCGGAGGGAGGUAGGGGUCGAGGGAACUUCUGGUGGAGCGGUGAAAUGCGUUGAUAUCAGAAGGAACGCCGGUGGCGAAAGCGCUCGACUGGACCUUUUCUGACGCUGAGGCGCGAAAGCUAGGGGAGCAAACGGG
rnacentral:rRNA from 1 species